rnacentral:rRNA from 1 species
AUUCCUACGGGAGGCAGCAGUGGGGAAUCUUGCGCAAUGGGCGAAAGCCUGACGCAGCGACGCCGCGUGUGGGAAGAAGGCCUUCGGGUUGUAAACCACUUUCAGGAGGGAAGAAGCGAAAGUGACGGUACCUCUAGAAGAAGGUCCGGCCAACUACGUGCCAGCAGCCGCGGUAAUACGUAGGGACCGAGCGUUGUCCGGAAUUAUUGGGCGUAAAGAGCUCGUAGGCGGUUCUUUAAGUCGGAUGUGAAAUCUCAGGGCUUAACCCUGAAACCGCACCCGAUACUGGAGAACUUGAGGCAGGUAGGGGAGAUCGGAAUUCCUGGUGUAGCGGUGAAAUGCGCAGAUAUCAGGAGGAACACCGGUGGCGAAGGCGGAUCUCUGGGCCUGUUCUGACGCUGAGGAGCGAAAGCGUGGGGAGCAAACAGGAUUAGAUACCCUGGUAGUCCACGCCGUAAACGAUGGGUGCUAGGUGUGGGAGAUAAUCCACUUCUUCCGUGCCGCAGCUAACGCAUUAAGCACCCCGCCUGGGGACUACGGCCGCAAGGCUAAAACUCAAAGGAAUUGACGGAAU